UACGUAGGGCGCAAGCGUUGUCCGGAAUUAUUGGGCGUAAAGAGCUCGUAGGCGGCUUGUCACGUCGGAUGUGAAAGCCCGGGGCUUAACCCCGGGUCUGCAUUCGAUACGGGCAGGCUAGAGUUCGGUAGGGGAGAUCGGAAUUCCUGGUGUAGCGGUGAAAUGCGCAGAUAUCGCUUGGAACGCCAACGGUGAAAACAGGUUGCUGGGGGUGUGCUGACGCUGAGACACGAAAGCCAGGGGAGCGAACGGG
rnacentral:rRNA from 1 species